rnacentral:rRNA from 1 species
AUUGAACGCUGGCGGCAGGCCUAACACAUGCAAGUCGAGCGGAGCGGCGGACGGGUGAGUAAUGCCUAGGUAUCGGCCUGGUAGUGGGGGAGAACGUCCGGAAACGGGCGCUAACACCGCAUACUCUCAGAUGAGCCUAGGCCGGAUUAGCUAGUUGGUGGGGUAAAGGCCUACCAAGGCGACGAUCCGUAACUGGUCUGAGAGGAUGAUCAGUCACACUGGAACUGAGACACGGUCCAGACUCCUACGGGAGGCAGCAGUGGGGAAUAUUGGACAAUGGGCGCAAGCCUGAUCCAGCCAUGCCGCGUGUGUGAAGAAGGUCUUCGGAUUGUAAAGCACUUUAAGUUGGGAGGCGUUACCAGCAGAAUAAGCACCGGCUAACUUCGUGCCAGCAGCCGCGGUAAUAC